rnacentral:snRNA from 1 species
GUCCUCAGCGACGGACCGGGCCU